GGGUUGUGAGGUUAAGCGACUAAGCGUACACGGUGGAUGCCCUGGCAGUCAGAGGCGAUGAAGGACGUGCUAAUCUGCGAUAAGCGUCGGUAAGGUGAUAUGAACCGUUAUAACCGGCGAUUUCCGAAUGGGGAAACCCAGUGUGUUUCGACACACUAUCAUUAACUGAAUCCAUAGGUUAAUGAGGCGAACCGGGGGAACUGAAACAUCUAAGUACCCCGAGGAAAAGAAAUCAACCGAGAUUCCCCCAGUAGCGGCGAGCGAACGGGGAGCAGCCCAGAGCCUGAAUCAGUGUGUGUGUUAGUGGAAGCGUCUGGAAAGGCGCGCGAUACAGGGUGACAGCCCCGUACACAAAAAUGCACAUGCUGUGAGCUCGAUGAGUAGGGCGGGACACGUGGUAUCCUGUCUGAAUAUGGGGGGACCAUCCUCCAAGGCUAAAUACUCCUGACUGACCGAUAGUGAACCAGUACCGUGAGGGAAAGGCGAAAAGAACCCCGGCGAGGGGAGUGAAAAAGAACCUGAAACCGUGUACGUACAAGCAGUGGGAGCACGCUUAGGCGUGUGACUGCGUACCUUUUGUAUAAUGGGUCAGCGACUUAUAUUCUGUAGCAAGGUUAACCGAAUAGGGGAGCCGAAGGGAAACCGAGUCUUAACUGGGCGUUAAGUUGCAGGGUAUAGACCCGAAACCCGGUGAUCUAGCCAUGGGCAGGUUGAAGGUUGGGUAACACUAACUGGAGGACCGAACCGACUAAUGUUGAAAAAUUAGCGGAUGACUUGUGGCUGGGGGUGAAAGGCCAAUCAAACCGGGAGAUAGCUGGUUCUCCCCGAAAGCUAUUUAGGUAGCGCCUCGUGAAUUCAUCUCCGGGGGUAGAGCACUGUUUCGGCAAGGGGGUCAUCCCGACUUACCAACCCGAUGCAAACUGCGAAUACCGGAGAAUGUUAUCACGGGAGACACACGGCGGGUGCUAACGUCCGUCGUGAAGAGGGAAACAACCCAGACCGCCAGCUAAGGUCCCAAAGUCAUGGUUAAGUGGGAAACGAUGUGGGAAGGCCCAGACAGCCAGGAUGUUGGCUUAGAAGCAGCCAUCAUUUAAAGAAAGCGUAAUAGCUCACUGGUCGAGUCGGCCUGCGCGGAAGAUGUAACGGGGCUAAACCAUGCACCGAAGCUGCGGCAGCGACGCUUAUGCGUUGUUGGGUAGGGGAGCGUUCUGUAAGCCUGUGAAGGUGUGCUGUGAGGCAUGCUGGAGGUAUCAGAAGUGCGAAUGCUGACAUAAGUAACGAUAAAGCGGGUGAAAAGCCCGCUCGCCGGAAGACCAAGGGUUCCUGUCCAACGUUAAUCGGGGCAGGGUGAGUCGACCCCUAAGGCGAGGCCGAAAGGCGUAGUCGAUGGGAAACAGGUUAAUAUUCCUGUACUUGGUGUUACUGCGAAGGGGGGACGGAGAAGGCUAUGUUGGCCGGGCGACGGUUGUCCCGGUUUAAGCGUGUAGGCUGGUUUUCCAGGCAAAUCCGGAAAAUCAAGGCUGAGGCGUGAUGACGAGGCACUACGGUGCUGAAGCAACAAAUGCCCUGCUUCCAGGAAAAGCCUCUAAGCAUCAGGUAACAUCAAAUCGUACCCCAAACCGACACAGGUGGUCAGGUAGAGAAUACCAAGGCGCUUGAGAGAACUCGGGUGAAGGAACUAGGCAAAAUGGUGCCGUAACUUCGGGAGAAGGCACGCUGAUAUGUAGGUGAAGUCCCUCGCGGAUGGAGCUGAAAUCAGUCGAAGAUACCAGCUGGCUGCAACUGUUUAUUAAAAACACAGCACUGUGCAAACACGAAAGUGGACGUAUACGGUGUGACGCCUGCCCGGUGCCGGAAGGUUAAUUGAUGGGGUCAGCGCAAGCGAAGCUCUUGAUCGAAGCCCCGGUAAACGGCGGCCGUAACUAUAACGGUCCUAAGGUAGCGAAAUUCCUUGUCGGGUAAGUUCCGACCUGCACGAAUGGCGUAAUGAUGGCCAGGCUGUCUCCACCCGAGACUCAGUGAAAUUGAACUCGCUGUGAAGAUGCAGUGUACCCGCGGCAAGACGGAAAGACCCCGUGAACCUUUACUAUAGCUUGACACUGAACAUUGAGCCUUGAUGUGUAGGAUAGGUGGGAGGCUUAGAAGUGUGGACGCCAGUCUGCAUGGAGCCGACCUUGAAAUACCACCCUUUAAUGUUUGAUGUUCUAACGUUGACCCGUAAUCCGGGUUGCGGACAGUGUCUGGUGGGUAGUUUGACUGGGGCGGUCUCCUCCUAAAGAGUAACGGAGGAGCACGAAGGUUGGCUAAUCCUGGUCGGACAUCAGGAGGUUAGUGCAAUGGCAUAAGCCAGCUUGACUGCGAGCGUGACGGCGCGAGCAGGUGCGAAAGCAGGUCAUAGUGAUCCGGUGGUUCUGAAUGGAAGGGCCAUCGCUCAACGGAUAAAAGGUACUCCGGGGAUAACAGGCUGAUACCGCCCAAGAGUUCAUAUCGACGGCGGUGUUUGGCACCUCGAUGUCGGCUCAUCACAUCCUGGGGCUGAAGUAGGUCCCAAGGGUAUGGCUGUUCGCCAUUUAAAGUGGUACGCGAGCUGGGUUUAGAACGUCGUGAGACAGUUCGGUCCCUAUCUGCCGUGGGCGCUGGAGAACUGAGGGGGGCUGCUCCUAGUACGAGAGGACCGGAGUGGACGCAUCACUGGUGUUCGGGUUGUCAUGCCAAUGGCACUGCCCGGUAGCUAAAUGCGGAAGAGAUAAGUGCUGAAAGCAUCUAAGCACGAAACUUGCCCCGAGAUGAGUUCUCCCUGAC
rnacentral:rRNA from 1 species